rnacentral:rRNA from 1 species
UACGUAGGGGGCAAGCGUUGUCCGGAAUUAUUGGGCGUAAAGAGCGUGUAGGCGGUUCCGGUAAGUCAGCUGAUCGAAAGGUCAAGGGCUCAACCCUUGAAUGCCGGUUGAAUACUGUCGGGCUAGAGUCCGGGAAGAGGCGAAGUUGGAAUUCCCGGUGUAGCGGUAGAAAUGCGCAGAUAUCGGGAAGGAACACCAAUGGCGAAGGACAGCUCGCUGGGACGGUACG